rnacentral:lncRNA from 1 species
ACAAAUGUGCCCUCGGCAGCCAUGGGUGGGCCAACACUGGUCUGGAAAUCAUUCAAACAAGUUUUCUCGAGCACAGCCUGUGGGUGAGACAUGCACAAGCCAGCGAGGACCUGCAGGGCACAAGACAAGCCCAGCUCACUGCAGUGAGGGGGACACACACACAAGUGGCCCCCAACAGGUGUGGGCGGCCUAAACCCCGAACCUCAGAACAUCAGUGUAUGUGGAGCCAGGUCUUCAGAGAGACGAUCGUCCUCAAGUGUGGUCACAGGGAUGGACCUGAAUUCAGUACAGCUGUGGCCUUCUAAGAAGAGGGACAUUUGGCAAACGUACACAGAGCUGUCACUUCGGGAACACAUGGGAGGAGACUGCGUCCAUGUGCAGGGAGAGGUCUCAGAAGGAACCAGCCCUGAGUGCACUUUGACUUCGGACUCCUCUUCUCCAGGAGUGUGGGAAAAUACCUCUCCACUGGGGAAGCCGCCAGCCUGUGGGCCUUGCAGAGGAAUGCAGCCGGGAAGCAUCAGAAUAUUGUCUCGGUGAUUUUUACAAUACUGAAGCCAGGCUCGGUGCCCACACCUGUAAUCCCAGCAGCUGGGGAGGCUGAAGCAGGAGGAUCGCAAGUUUGAGGACAGCCUGGACAAUAGCCCUGCCUUGAAAUAAAAGUAGAAAGGGGCUGGGUAUUCGGCUCAGGAUAGAGCAUCCCGGCACAUGCAGGGGCAGAGGCGUCCCUCCUGGGGACACACGGCUGCCACCGACCUGCUUCCUUGUCACUCAUUUAUUCUUUUUUCUUGCACAAACCACACGUGUGACGAGUCCUGGCACACUGCCCUGUGCCUGGCCUUUGUGCAGUGACAGAGCAUCCGGUAGAUGCUGCAGGACAGACUAAGAAAGCAGCUUUAGAAAGUCAGGGCAACAGCCAGUGGUGGGCAGGCGAGUCACCAGCAGGGCGUUGGAGGAAAGCUUGGAAAAGUAUUUUAGGCUGCUGUGUUAGGAGGGGCAGGAGGAGGGGCCGGGCUCCUGGAGGUGACCCUGGGCUCCUUGCCCCACCACCGAAGUAGGUCACUGUGAGCACAGGGAGGCGCCGCGCUGUGUGGGAGGCACGGAUCUGGCGGGGCUGCGAUGCCAUCUGUGACUGCAGACUCCCAGGUUGCUGGUGGGGAGGAGCGGCUUGUCUAAGCGCCUGGCCUUACAGAUGGUGAAGCUGAGCCCAGAGGCAGAGGGACUGUUCCUGAGGUCACUAGCCAGGUGGGGACGGAGCAGGGGACCUGAGCCUGCGGGUCCCACCUUUGGCUGCAGCCCUUUUAAGGGUGCCAGGUUGCCUGAAAAGUUGUAUCUGGAUGCCCAGAUUUUACUCUGCCUUUUCUUCCUGCCUUGUGUAUCUAUCGCCCCUCUGCAAUUGAAAAUAAGAGCAUAGACACUGGGCUGUGGUACUGGCUUUGCUCUCCACCCCUUAGGGCUUUGACAGGGCAGCUGUGACCACAGGGCAGUACAGUCCACCUUGUAGAGGAUGGAUUGGUGGUGGUCUUGAGUUGUGCAGUGCACGGCCAUGCAAACUGUACCUAGCAGUCCUGGCUGUGAAGGGCUAAGUGACAUCAUGCCAUCAUGCCUGUCAAUCCAUUAGCAUAUGAAGAGAUCAUCAAAUGUUGGCCAUUAUUAUCUGCAUUUUUUGAUUUGUUUUGAGACAGGGUCUUGCUGUGUAGUCCACACUGGACUUGAGCUCAUUAUGUAGCCCAAGCUGUCCUCAAACUUGUAGUGAUCCUCUUGCCUCAGCUUUCCAAGUGUUGAGAUUACAGGUGUGCACUACCAUGCCUGGCUAUUAUUAUCUUUAUUUUUUUUUUGUUAUCAUGAAGAACCGGCUGUCUUAUCUUUUUUUUUUUUUGGUACCGGGGAUCGAACCCGGGUCCUUGCACUUGCACAGCAGGCAGCGAAACCACUGAGCUAAAUCCCCGGCCCAGCUGUCUUAUCUUUGAAGCAGCAAGGAAUGGAAGAGCUGAGUAGGAAAGUCAUCUUUUCAUCGUUUUCUUCUGUUAUUAAAGGUAACCAGAGCACUCAGUACAGAAAACCUGGAAAACGCAUAAGGAGACACAAAAUGACAAAAAAUAACAAGCCCACAUCCAGAACCACCCUUUUGACAUAUGGUGUAUGUUUUUCCAGGCUUUCAUUCCCUGUUUGUCUCUUUCACACAUUAGGAAAUUUUGCUUUCCUGUGGGAAGUCUGGCCUCCGCCCUCAGCUUUGAGGAGAGGACCCAGCACAGUGACCAAGAACAUGAAUUCUAUGUCUCCAUCACCUAGUUUCACAUGCCAGCUCUCACCUGCCUGCUGUGUGACCUUGGGCAAGACAGGUAAGCUCCCUGGGCUUCAGUGUUGUCUCUUGUAAAGUGUGCCUAAUGCGGAAGCAUUGUGAGCGUGACCUAAGUUAAUGCUUGCAAUGUUCCCAGAGAAGUACUUGGUUCCAAGUGUAUUGGUCGGGAGGAGAGGUUUAAUGGGCUCAGGGGAUGCAGUCCAUGGUCGGUUGCCCCAAGGCAGGAACAUCAUGGCGGAAGGGCAUGGUGGAGCAAAGCUACUCAGUUCCUGGCAGCUGGCAAGCAGAUCAGGGAGCAGAGCCUGAAAGGGAGGGUAGAGAGACCAGCUGAAGUCCCCAAGGCUGUGCCUCCAGGACCCACCCUGACACUCCCAGUAUGCUUUACUAAUCCCUUGGUGGUCCCCAAGUGAAUCCAGUUGACAGUUAAGCUUAACUAUCAAAGGGUUUGGCACAUCCUUGUCACAAGAGCAGCCCAUUUGGGGGACAGCACCUUUGGCUAUGCUGGUCCCUUACUGUUGGCCCUGCAGUUGGUUCCUAGUUUUUCCCCAUCCUAAAUAAUGUGGCUACAAUGUUUCUCAGUGUCUUUGAGUAUGUCUUUGGUUAUUUUAUGAAAAUAAAUUCCCAGAAAUGGUAUUUCUGGUUUAUAAAUAAUGCAUGUGGCAGAUCAUCCAAGUGUGUACUAAAGAAUGUGCCGGCAAAAUUGGCAGGGACAAGAAAGAGACAGGAGUCCCUGAGACCUUGGGAGGAGAACAGGGGAACAUGGGCACAGCCUAGGACUAGGAAAUGUGCUUUAGUUAUGGUUGUGGGGCUGCCCAUUUGAUGUCCUGGGGAUGUGGUCCUUGCCCUUUGGAGCUUUGGCCUUGUUGCCCAAAUUCUGGUCCUUGGAGAAUCCACCACCUUUUGUUUGUGUCUCAGAACCAGCUAUGGCAUAAGGUGAGGUAAGGUAAGACUUUGAAAUAUAUUUGCUUUU